rnacentral:tRNA from 1 species
CUAGUAAAAUCAGCUAAACUAAGCUGUUGGGCCCAUACCCCAAACAUGUUGGUUAAAAUCCUUCUUUUACUA